AAAAUGUAUAGUUGGGGUGUGAGGGAAAUUUGCUUCUGAUUCACCUAAUACAUUAUAGGCUUUCUUAAGAGAGGUAAUGGCUGUCUAGGUUAUUGAUGGCUCUCUGGUUACCUCCCUGCUUUAGAAGAAUUGGGCAAGUAGACGAUGAAGUCGUGUUCUAAGUCUUGGCCUAUAGUCCUUCAUUCCGUUCACCCCGACCAUUCAGAUGGUGGGCACACAUGAGCAAGAAAUGAAGUGUGAUGCUGACAUGAAAAAUGGGGUCAGUGAAACAUGAAGAUGCACAAUACAAAGAAAACCAUUUCAGCAAAGCAGAAUUUGCAGCUUUUGCUCUGCAAACAAUGAGUAUGUACUCUACAAAUUAGCCAGCUUUCAAAAUUUUAAUUAAUUUGAAUGUUAAGUGAAUUUUUUCCCUGUUGAAUGUUUAAGCCUGGAAAACCUUGAUCUUAAAUCGGUCCUAAUUAUGAAUUCUCUUUUUCCACAAAAGAAGCUAUUUAAAGCUACUGCAGAAGUUGCACUAUGAAGCAGAUGAGUGUCAAUAUAAAUUAUGAUCUCUACAUUACUUGGGACUCAACAAUGCUAAGAAAUUCUACUCAGCUUUCUCUGACGUUCUCUUCAGAGAUUGUUUCAAUAAUCUUUUUAUAAACUGUAAUCCUCUUCCAUCUGAA
rnacentral:lncRNA from 1 species